CCCUUUCACAUUUUCUCCACCACUGUAGAUUUCGUCUGCCCUGCACCACGUAGUAUUAUUACCAGAUGUGCAGCAUGUAGUUCAAAACACACACACAUUGUGCGUCGCAACAAUGAAAGUUAAAUGUGCGAUCGGACGAUUAGGUUAGAAUUCUAUUGACAGAACCAAGUAUAAUUUGUAAGGGCUAUUUCGGAAUAUAUAGUCCCACCGUUCGUUAGUUGGUCAUUGUCCAUGUCGGUAUCUACAACACCAUAAACCCGGCAGGUAGGAGCAGUGAUUUAAUAUUUUUCUUGCGCUCUAAUCGGCGAAGAAGGUUACUUAGCAGACGAAGAAGGUUGCAUAGCAGACCACCAGACAUAUAUUUACAGCCAUCUUUAAAUUAAGUUCAAGAUUGCUGCCCUGACAAUACACUGGCUUAUAGGUAGUCCUGACAGUGAGGCUCCUGACCUAUACAGAAAACAAGUGGUUGAGAGGUUAUACUAUACUUUGGUUGCAUUAGUGAUGUGUGUUGGCUUAGGUCGGGUUGACACGAUCCAAGUAUACUUGGGUUCCAACUUAGACCAAGUGCGCUUGGACAAAGUUGGUUGCCACGGUUAAAUGACUUGGAUGUCAAAUAACCCUUGCAAAGAUGGCGGAAGUAAUUGUGGAAGGUGUUUGAGUAGUUGCUGAUAUCGCACCCUCAGUGCAAGACUGCAGUAACUCAAAAAUUUUAUGAAAAUGAAGUAAUCAUGGAAUUCGAUUGUAAACAUGCAUAUCUAUCCCCUGUAAAACUUUAGUAACUUUCAAAUGCUUAACCGGCUAAAUGUUACAACAACAGUUUAACUAUUUUGCGUUUUUGAAUAUAAGUUCUGUGCAAAACUGUUGUAACUCUAAUGUAACAGAGUUACAACAGUUUUUCACGGAACAUUGCAAUGUCUUCGAUAACAAGCAAUGAAAGGCACGAAAGAAGUAUGAUAUUUGUUAUUAUCAUAUCUAUAUCUGUGGUGUUUUUUAAUAUACAGCGUGUCUACGUAAUCCAUUAACGGCCGAGACAAUAAAAAAAGAUUUACGAGACCAAACAAUUCAUGUAAAUUAUAUCUCCUUUGUGUGACAUUAUUAUUUUCCAUAAUAUGUGUGCGAUGUCGUUUGACCAUUUAUUUGUUAGAUUGAAUUAAAAACACAUAAAUUAAGACUAAUUAUUUAC
rnacentral:lncRNA from 1 species